rnacentral:rRNA from 1 species
GGCCCCGCCUGCCCGGUGACUUAUGUUUAACGGCCGCGGUAUUUUGACCGUGCAAAGGUAGCGCAAUAACUUGUCUUUUAAAUGGAGACUAGUAUGAAUGGCACCACGAGGGCUUAUCUGUCUCCUUUUUUAGGUCAAUGAAAUUGAUCUCCCCGUGCAAAAGCGGGGAUAAGCACAUAAGACGAGAAGACCCUGUGGAGCUUUAGACACCAAGACAGAUCACGUUAAAAAUACCCCGACAAGGGAUAAAACUAAAAAAUACCUGCUCUAAUGUCUUUGGUUGGGGCGACCGCGGAGCACAAAAAAACCUCCCCUCCGCGUGGAGUGGGGGCACCUUACCUACCCCUACAACUAAGAGUUACAACUCGCACUAGCAGAACUUUCUGACCAUUAAGAUCCGGCCCCGAGCCGAUCAACGAACCGAGUUACCCCAGGGAUAACAGCGCAAUCCCCUUUUAGAGCCCAUAUCGACAAGGGGGUUUACGACCUCGAUGUUGGAUCAGGACAUCCUAAUGGUGCAGCCGCUAUUAAGGGUUCGUUUGUUCAACGAUUAAAGUCCUACGUGAUC